AGUCUGCUUGAUGAGUGGUAAAAAGUACUACAUUUGAAGGCUAUGUGUAAGGGGCUUUUAAAGGAAUUUUUCUUAUUUUGUAGCAAGAAAAAAACAUUUUACUUCAAUUGGCUUGAUACAGUUUAAAUACAGCAAUUGUUGCUUAAAAUUUGUCAAUGCCAAACAAGGUACAGAAACUAAACUGUGGGAACUUUGGAGUAAAAUGCACUGUACUUAAUUGUUCCUCAAGAGCAAAUCUAUUCAAGUGUCUAAGGCCGCAUAUCAUUAUUCGUUGUAACGAAUAAAAGAUUUGAGUGUUGGAACUGACUUGUCUAAGUGUAGGAAUGAAAGUUUUGACUGAUAUUAUAGAGAAUGACAAUUAUUAAUAUUAAUCAGGGCACAUAGCUAAGGGUUAUGCCUUAAUAUCAAAGCACCAUAUUGGAGCUUCUGUUUGUUUUUUUAACAAUUGUGAUCCAAUGCUAGUAUAUGCCAAACUACAAUUUCAAUAAUAACAUUCUUGUUUUUUGCAUAAAAUUUAUGUAGACUUGAAUGUUUCAUUUUUCCUCAAAGGAAUUAUUUCUUUGAAGAAUUUUUCUUCCAAUAUGUUUAUUUUUAUCCAUUACUGCAACAGAACACAAUAAUAUUAUCAUGUAAUUAUACAUAUUGCACAUACUAAUGAAAGUGGAAAAAUCACUUUUGAUAUUAUAAUGCAUAGCUAUACACAGUGCAUUUUUACUUAUUUGGUCAUUUAUAGUACAUUAUGAUUUGUAUGAAAGUGUAGAUACUGAAUUAUUUUUGAAAUUUCAAGCAUUUCCACGGCAAAAAAACUGGGUAGGGGGUAAUCUUUAAUUGACUUAAAUACACUUAACUUAUGUUUAUUAAGAUAAAGUGUUUUCCCAAAAUUGCCCAUUGCUUUUACAUUUGAGCUGGAUAGUAAAUUAUCUAUAAUUGUACUUAAGUUCUAGUUUUAUAGACUUCUAAGUAUUUAUUACAUGCAAGUAACUUUUUGUGAAUCAUUUUGAAUAUUAAUAAUAUUCACGCAAUUAGUGUACAGAUAUGUUUUGUAGAAUUCUAUUUUUUGUCAAUAAACAUGAAAAAUUCUU